rnacentral:lncRNA from 1 species
CAACCCAAACCUCCCCUUGCACAGCUUGAGGCUAUGGGAGAAGAGGCCAGCCCCCACCUUGCUGCACCACCUUUCAGGCAGCUGUAAAGAGUGAUAAAGUCUCUCCCAAACCUUCUUUUCUUGAGAAUAAACACUCCCUCAGCAGUUCCUCUCUAGAUCCAUCAUCAGCUUUGUUGCCCUUCUCUGGAUAUGCUCCAGAACCUCAACGUCCUGGAGGAGAGGGGCCCAGAACUGGGCUGAAGGAGAGCAGAAUCUGCCAUGGGUUUCCAUGUGUAUGAUUCUUCAUGACCUCAUGUGCUCCAGUUCUUGCAGGUGUUACCUGAAUGAUGACUCACAAAUGAUGACUCUCUUCACUUCUGACCUUUUGCCUACUGCCCAGUCUCAUAUUUCUGGUUGUCAAGCAACAUUAACUACAGAUGCCCAAUAACAGAACCAAAAUAUUCUACUUUUUCCUCCAUAGAAGACCUAAAAUACAUUUUCCUCUCCAACUACAUUUCUAGGUACUUUGCAUCAUGUAUUUUCAUAGCUCCAGGCAGACUGCUUGUUUGGGAUUUUGGUUCUCCUGGCUGGUUCACCUUCAUUUUCUCAUUGCGGGUUCUUCCCUCCACUUCCUUCUGAAGAAGAACAGAAAAAAAAAAUGCAAAGUGAACACGACACUGAUUUCCCUUGGGAGAUUUUUUUUUUAGUUCUUCUUCAGGUCAGUGUGGUCCUUGUGGUUUGGUGACAUUUCACUAAAAAUCCAGACUUUGGACUUACAUUUAUUUGAAAUGAAACUGCAAAUCCAGCCACUACUGAUGAGAACUGUAAUGCUGACUGUUCUUAUUCUAGCUACAUGGUCUAUGGGAAUGACAUCACUGAAUAACUAAAAGACUUGACAUCAUCAAAAAAUUGCAUUCUACUUGUACUGUAAAAAUAGAUCAUAAUUAUUUCUGUAGUGUCUAAAGAGAAAUUGAUUUUUUGUGCCUUCUGUGAAUGCUGCAAUGCUAUUUUAGUGUAAUGCUUUUAUGUCUAUGGCAGCCAAUUGCUUUGACCCUGAAGUCUUUCUUGCAGUAGUGCUGACUUGCUGAAUCAGAGUUCAUUCAUAUCCUCUUGCCACAGAAUAAUAUGCUGAAUACAAAACUUGCCAUAAUAGCAAUAUAAAAAAUGCCACGAGAUAACACAAAAAUAAAUAUAGAAGAAAAAAUGGAAAAUACA